AUUGAACGCUGGCGGCAGGCCUAACACAUGCAAGUCGAACGAGUGGCGGACGGGUGAGUAAUGGCUGGGAAACUGCGCGAUGGAGGGGGAUAACUACUGGAAACGGUAGCUAAUACCGCAAUCCAUCGGAGGUGCCCAGAUGGGAUUAGCUAGGAGGGGGGGUAAUGGCUCACCUAGGCGACGAUCCCUAGCUGGUCUUAGAGGAUGACCAGACACACUAGAACUGAGACACGGUCCAGACUCCUACGGGAGGCAGCAGUGGGGAAUAUUGCACAAUGGGCGCAAGCCUUAUGCAGCCAUGCCGCGUGUAUGAAGAAGGCCUUCGGGUUGUAAAGUACUUUCAGCGAGGAGGCGUUACUCGCAGAAGAAGCACCGGCUAACUCCGUGCCAGCAGCCGCGGUAAUAC
rnacentral:rRNA from 1 species